UAAUUGGCUGGUAGACAAUAUGAAAACCCAUCAUGCUUGUUAGAGAAAAGAAGGGGCAACCUGAGAAUCAAAGCUCUUGUGGCUAUAAUUUGCAGGUGUAGGACUGAUCCUGACUGGAAAGAACAAUGAAGACAUCCAUUGAGGCUUCAUUCUUAUUCUUGUGGCUGCAGCUGGAUUGGAUGAGCCGAGGCGAGGAUGUGGAGCAGCAGCCUUCUACUCUGAGUGUCCAGGAAGGAGGGACCUCUGUUAUCAACUGUACCUACUCAAACAGUGCUUCAGUCUACUUUCCAUGGUACAAACAAGAAGCUGGGCAGGGGCCCAAGCUCUUCAUAGACAUUCGCUCCAAUGUGGAUAAAAAACAAGACCAAAGAUUCACUGUUUUGUUGGAUAAGAAGGCCAAGCAUGUCUCCCUGCACAUCACAGCCACCCAGCCUGGGGACUCAGCUGUCUACUUCUGUGCAACAAGUACACAGUGCUCCCCAGGCACCUGUGUCCUGUGCCCAAACCUGUGACUGGACUUCAACUUCGGUUCCUUUCCUUUAUCACAAACUUUCUAGUAAAGCCUUUGCCACACUAUUUGCAAGUGGAGCCUAACACGCAAACAUGAAGCACAGAAUGAAAAAACUAAGUUCAAAAUGACCUGGAAAAUGUUAGAACAGUUUGUUGACUGUUGUUUGAUAGCUUGUUUUUUUUUUUUAAUUUCUAAGUGAGAUGUCUUAUUAUUUAUUUUUAACUAUCUAUAAAAAUGAUAGAUACUUCUGUGGUAUUAUUUUAUGUUUUAAUACAUGAAUACAUUGUACAAUCUCCAAAUAAGUGAUGUGUAUGUUUCUCCUGAACUGUUUAUUACUUUUUAAAUGGAGAAAACACUAAAAAUGCUUUAUUUCAACUUUGAAAUAUGUGUAGAACUUUGUCAUUAUUUAUGCUCACCCCACUGUGUAAUAGAACACCAGAAAUUCUCAUUACUGUAUAACACAACCUGUUGUUCAUUAAAUAAACUUUCUUGUGCUUUCAUCGUUUCUACUUUCCUCAACCUCUGGCCAACACCAUUAUAUGCUCACCCUCUGUGAGAGCUCUGUUUUAACAUUUCCCUGUUAGUGAAAGCCUACAAUAUUUAUCUUCCUGAGCUUGGCUCAUUUUACUAACUGCAAUAGCCUCCAACUCCAUCCAUAUUGUUGCAAAAGACAAGAUUUCAUCCUGUAUAUGGUUGAGUUGUAUACCAUCAUCUAUCUUUGUCAGAUUUUUUCAUCCAUUCAGCA